rnacentral:snRNA from 15 species
AAAAAGGGCUUCUGUCGUGCAUGGCACACGUCGAGCGGCGGGGGUAUCCUCAGCCGUUUUUCGUGCGGAAUCGACAUCAAGAGAUUUCGGAAGCACAAUUUUUGUUAACUGGGCAGCUGGUGAUCGUUGGUCCUAGCGCCCUU